CCUANGGGUGGCAGCAGUCUAGAAGCUUCGGCAAUGGGGGCAACCCUGACCGAGCGACGCCGUGUGGAGGAUGAAGGCCUUCGGGUUGUAAACUCCUUUUGGUGGGGAAGAAAUGCAGGCGUGUUAAUACCACGCUUGUUUGACGGUACCCACAGAAUAAGCCCCGGCCAACUACGUGCCAGCAGCCGCGGUAAUACGUAGGGGGCAAACGUUGUCCGGAUUUACUGGGUGUAAAGGGUGCUCAGGCGGUCUUGUAAGUUAGAAGUGAAAUCCUAGAGCUUAACUCUGGAACUGCUUUUAAUACUGCAAGGCUUGAAUGUGGAAGAGGAGGAUGGAAUUUCUGGUGUAGCAGUGAAAUGCGUAGAUAUCAGAAAGAACACCAGUGGCGAAGGCGGUCCUCUGGUCCACUAUUGACGCUAAAGCACGAAAGCGUGGGGAGCAAACAGGAUUAGAUACCCUGNUANUC
rnacentral:rRNA from 1 species